CGCCACCACCGGGUGUAGCGCCACCACCACGGGUGUAGCGCCGCCACCACGGGUGUAGCGCCACCACCACGGGUGUAGCGCCGCCACCACGGGUGUAGCGCCACCACCACGGGUGUAGCGCCACCACCACGGGUGUAGCGCCGGCGGUGCUACACUCGUUGUGGGUAUUCAGGGAAUAUGUUUACUGAUGUGUACUCCUGACAUACAUGAACUCAUAGUGUGUGUAAACAAGUGACAUAUAUGUAUUAUGUAGACAUAUGUGUAAUCCUGUCAUACAUGUGUUCAUUGUAUUUGUGUAUUCGUGACAUGAAUACAAUAAUGAGAAAGGUUUGUAAAAUAUGUUCGUGUGCUCAUCAUAUCAUAAUUAUUCAUCAUAUCAGAGUGUUUCUGGCUUAUGUGUACUUGUAGUACAUACAUUCAUGGAAUAUAUGUGCUUGUAGUACAUACAUUCAUGGAAUAUAUGUGCUUGUAGUACAUACAUUCAUGGAAUAUAUGUGCUUGUAGUACAUACACUCCUGGAAUAUAUGUGCUUGUAGUACAUACACUCAUGGAAUAUAUGUGCUUGUAGUACAUACAUUCACGGAAUAUAUGUGCUUGUAGUACACACAUUCAUGGAAUAUAUGUGCUCGUAGUACAUACACUACUGGAAUAUAUGUGCUUGUAGUACAUACACUCCUGGAAUAUAUGUGCUUGUAGUACAUACGUUCAUGGAAUAUAUGUGCUUGUAGUACAUACACUCCUGGAAUAAAUGUGCUUGUAGUACAUACACUCCUGGAAUAUAUGUGCUUGUAGUACAUACACUCCUGGAAUAUAUGUGCUUGUAGUACAUACACUCCUGGAAUAUAUGUGCUUGUAGUACAUACACUCCUGGAAUAUAUGUGCUUGUAGUACAUACAUUCAUGGAAUAUAUGUGCUUGUAGUACAUACAUUCAUGGAAUAUAUGUGCUUGUAGUAGAUACUCUCCUAGAAUAUAUGUGCUUGUAGUACAUACACUCCUGGAAUAUAUGUGCUUGUAGUACAUACACUCCUGGAAUAUAUGUGCUUGUAGUACAUACACUCCUGGAAUAUAUGUGCUUGUAGUAGAUACUCUCCUAGAAUAUAUGUGCUUGUAGUACAUACACUCCUGGAAUAUAUGUGCUUGUAGUACAUACACUCCUGGAAUAUAUGAGCUUGUAGUACAUACACUCCUGGAAUAUAUGUGCUUGUACACAUACACUCCUGGAAUAUAUGUGCUUGUACACAUACACUCCUGGAAUAUAUGUGCUUGUAGUACAUACACUCCUGGAAUAUAUGUGCUUGUAGUACAUACACUCCUGGAAUAUAUGUGCUUGUAGUACAUACACUCCUGGUAUAUAUGUGCUUGUACACAUACACUCCUGGAAUAUAUGUGCUUGUACACAUACACUCCUGGAAUAUAUGUGCUUGUAGUACAUACACUCCUGGAAUAUAUGUGCUUGUACACAUACACUCCUGGAAUAUAUGUGCUUGUACACAUACACUCCUGGAAUAUAUGUGCUUGUACACAUACACUCCUGGAAUAUAUGUGCUUGUACACAUACACUCCUGGAAUAUAAGCUCUCGUGGUAUACUUAGUACAUUUAUAAUGCUGCACAAUGUAUAGUUUGUAAACAUUCAACAAUUGCUAUAACAGACAUACGUAGAUUGUAAGUGAAAACAUAUUUACAAUAUAUUAAGACCUGAAUAAUUAUAUUGUUCUACCUGAUAAA
rnacentral:lncRNA from 1 species